AUGAUCAUUCAUUUGGUUUUAGUAUUUCUGGCAGCAGAGAUUUACAAAAUGCAUCUAGUUCAUUUGGAUCAGCUUCAUUUGUAUAAUAAAAUUAAUCAUGGUCACGAAUUGGCUAAUGGAAUUGUUGAACCACAAUGUUUUUCCCCUAGUGGGAACUUUAGUCAACAUUUUAAUUACUUAAAUCCACAGUUUGAUGAACAAAAAUUUUAA